UACGGAGGGGACUAGCGUUGUUCGGAAUUACUGGGCGUAAAGCGCACGUAGGCGGAUUUGUAAGUCAGGGGUGAAAUUCCGGGGCUCAACCUCGGAACUGCCUUUGAUACUGCAAAUCUCGAGUCCGGAAGAGGUGAGUGGAAUUCCUAGUGUAGAGGUGAAAUUCGUAGAUAUUAGGAAGAACACCAGUGGCGAAGGCGGCUCACUGGUCCGGUACUGACGCUGAGGUGCGAAAGCGUGGGGAGCAAACAGG
rnacentral:rRNA from 1 species